rnacentral:snRNA from 1 species
AGAUGUGAGAGCGAUCUGGCUGCGACAUCUGUCACCCAUUGAUCACUAGGGUUGAGUCGGCUGAUCUGGCUAUCUAGGUGGGUGUUUCCUUCCUCCCUCACUACUCCAUGUGCAUCUCUCCUGAAGCUGCACACUCGGCGGAAGAGGACGAUGUCCCAGGUAUAGAAGGAGUGUACUGAGGUCUCAAGUCUUCAGUCCCAGGUAUACGAUAGCUGCGCUCCCCUGCUAGAACAUCCGAGAGCUAUAGUUAUUUGUGGAAGUAGGAGCUUAUCUGUGUAAGUGGACACCCCAGCCACACACAUAACAUACAUAUUUUCACUUUUAU